rnacentral:lncRNA from 1 species
CCAACCCCAAUCCCAGUCCUGAUCCCAUCCCAGUCUCAAUCCCAUCCCAAACCCCAAACCCCAUCACACAUUGGCCCGUUUGCUUCUCUGUGUCCUGCCCAGCACCAGCUCCAAUCCCAUCCCAAAUCCCAAUCCUGACCCCAAUCCAACCCCAAUCCUGACCCCAAAUCCCAACCCCAUCACACGUAGGCCGACUCGCUGCUCUGUGUCCUGCCCAGUGCCAGCUCUGAUCCCAAUCCCACCCCAAUCCUGACCCCAAAUCCCAUCACACGUAGGCCGACUCGCUGCUCUGCGUCCUGCCCAGUGCGGGUUCUGAUCCAAUCCCAAUCCAACCCCAAUCCCAAAUCUGUCCAUCUCCUUUCCUGACCCCAAUCCCACCCCAAACCCCAUCACACACAGGCCGACUCCCUGCUCUGCAUCCUGCCCAGCACCAGCUCCAAUCCCACCCCAAUCUGACCCCAAUCCCAUCACACGUAGGCCGACUCGCUGCUCUGCGUCCUGCCCAGCACGGGCACCGAUCCCAUCCCAAUCCCAAUCCUGAUCCCAUCCCAAUCCCAUCCUAACCCCAGUCCCGAUCCCAUCCCAAUACCACUCCAAUCCUGACCCCCAAUCCCAAACCCCCCUGUGUCNAGAAAUUUGGGGGUGAAAUUUUGGAGGCUUUUGGGGGAAAAUCCUGGAAAUUUGGGGGUGAAAUCUCAGCAGUUUUAGGGACAAAUCCCAAAAAUUUGGGGCUGAAAUUUCAGGGAUUUUGGGGAAAAACCUCCGAGAUUUGGGGCUGAAAUCCUCCCAGAUUUGGAGAUUAAAUCUCCACAGUUUUGGGUUCCAACCCUGACAGUUUUGGGGACAAACUCCGGAGAUUUGGGGCUGAAAUCCCCACAGGUUUUUGGGGUGAAAACCCCUCAGUUUGGGGGUGAUCCCUGCUCCUUUUCCAUCCAAAUCCCGGCGAUUUUGGUUCCAUUCCUGACGAUUUUGGUUCCAAUUCCUGACGAUUUUGGUCCCAUUCCUGAUGAUUUUGGUUCCAAUCCUGAUGAUUUUGGUUCCAUUCCUGACGAUUUUGGUUUCAAUUCCGGCGAUUUUGGCGGCUCCGAGCUCCGGCGAUUUUGGGGUGAAAUCCCAGAAGUUGUGGCCCCAAACCCCCCCAACGGUUUGGGGUGAAAUCCCAACGGUUUGGGGUGAAAUCCCAAUGGUUUGGGGUGAAAUCCCAA